rnacentral:rRNA from 1 species
GACGAACGCUGGCGGCGUGCCUAAUACAUGCAAGUAGAACGCUGAAGGCGGAGCUUGCUUCUCUGGAUGAGUUGCGAACGGGUGAGUAACGCGUAGGUAACCUGCCUGGUAGCGGGGGAUAACUAUUGGAAACGAUGGCUAAUACCGCAUAAGAGUAGAUGUCGCAUGACAUUUGCUUAAAAGGUGCAAUUGCAUCACUACCAGUUGGACCUGCGUUGUAUUGGCUAGUUGGUGAGGUAACGGCUCACGAAGGCAACGAUGCAUAGCCGACCGGAGAGGGUGAUCAGCCACACUGAGACGGAGACACGGCCCAGACUGCUACGGGAGGCAGCAGUAGUGAAUCGGCGGCAAUGGACGGAAGUCUGACCGAGCAACGCCGAGGGAGUGAAGAAGGUUGUCGGAUCGUAAAUCACUGUUGUAAGAGAAGAACGAGUGUGAGAGUGGAAAGUACACACUGUGACGGUAUCUGACCAGAAAGGGACGGCUAACUACGUG